rnacentral:rRNA from 1 species
GACGAACGCUGGCGGCGUGCUUAACACGUGCAAGUCGAACGGUGACGAGGAGCUUGCUCCUCUGAUCAGUGGCGAACGGGUGAGUAACACGUGAGCAACCUGCCCCAGACUCUGGGAUAACAGUUGGAAACAGCUGCUAAUACCGGAUACGAGACGGAGAGGCAUCUCUACCGUCUGGAAAGUUUUUCGGUCUGGGAUGGACUCGCGGCCUAUCAGCUAGUUGGUGAGGUAAUGGCUCACCAAGGCGACGACGGGUAGCCGGCCUGAGAGGGCGACCGGCCACACUGGGACUGAGACACGGCCCAGACUCCUACGGGAGGCAGCAGUGGGGAAUAUUGCACAAUGGGCGAAAGCCUGAUGCAGCGACGCCGCGUGAGGGAUGACGGCCUUCGGGUUGUAAACCUCUUUCAGCAGGGAAGAAGCGAAAGUGACGGUACCUGCAGAAGAAGCACCGGCUAACUACGUG